AGUGAACGCUGGCGGUAGGCCUAACACAUGCAAGUCGAACGGCAGCACAGUAAGAGCUUGCUCUUACGGGUGGCGAGUGGCGGACGGGUGAGGAAUACAUCGGAAUCUCCUUUUUCGUGGGGGAUAACGUAGGGAAACUUACGCUAAUACCGCAUACGACCUACGGGUGAAAGCAGGGGAUCUUCGGACCUUGCGCGAUUGAAUGAGCCGAUGUCGGAUUAGCUAGUUGGCGGGGUAAAGGCCCACCAAGGCGACGAUCCGUAGCUGGUCUGAGAGGAUGCUGAGCCACACUGGAACUGAGACACGGUCCAGACUCCUAGGGGAGGCAGCAGUGGGGAAUAUUGGACAAUGGGCGCAAGCCUGAUACAGCCAUACCGCGUGGGUGAAGAAGGCCUUCGGGUUGUAAAGCCCUUUUGUUGGGAAAGAAAAGCAGCAGGUUAAUACCCCGCUGUUCUGACGGUACCCAAAGAAUAAGCACCGGCUAACUUCGUG
rnacentral:rRNA from 1 species